CCCCUAGAUGUUCUGGGCCGCACGCGCGCUACACUGAACAGUUCAACAAGUCUUAACCUUGGCCGAUAGGUCUGGGUAAUCUUUGAACGCUGUUCGUGAUUGGGAUAGACCUUUGCAAUUAUGGGUCUUCAACGAGGAAUUCCUAGUAAACGCAAGUCAUCAGCUUGCAUUGAUUACGUCCCUGCCCUUUGUACACACCGCCCGUCGCACCUACCGAUUGAAUGGUCCGGUGAAGCCUCGGGAUUGUGGCUGGUUUCCUUUAUUGGAGGUCGGUCGCGAGAACUUGUCUAAACCUUAUCAUUUAGAGGAAGGUGAAGUCGUANCA
rnacentral:rRNA from 1 species